rnacentral:rRNA from 1 species
CCUACGGGAGGCAGCAGUGGGGAAUUUUCCGCAAUGGGCGAAAGCCUGACGGAGCAAUCUCGCGUGAGGGAUGACUGCCUAUGGGUUGUAAACCUCUUUUUUCAGGGAGGAAUAAAUGACGUGUACCUGAAGAAUAAGCAUCGGCUAACUCCGUGCCAGCAGCCGCGGUAAUACGGAGGAUGCAAGUGUUAUCCGGAAUCACUGGGCGUAAAGCGUCUGUAGGUGGUUUAAUAAGUCAACUGUUAAAUCUUGAGGCUCAACUUCAAAAUCGCAGUCGAAACUAUUAGACUAGAGUAUAGUAGGGGUAAAGGGAAUUUCCAGUGGAGCGGUGAAAUGCGUAGAGAUUGGAAAGAACACCGAUGGCGAAGGCACUUUACUGGGCUAUUACUGACACUCAGAGACGAAAGCUAGGGUAGCAAAUGGGAUUAGAUACCCCAGUAGUCCUAGCUGUAAACAAUGGAUACUAGAUGUUGAACAGAUCGACCUGUGCAGUAUCAAAGCUAACGCGUUAAGUAUCCCGCCUGGGAAGUAUGCUCGCAAGAGUGAAACUCAAAGGAAUUGACGG